ACGCCGAUGGUGAAACGGUUAUCAUGCUUGCCUUCCAUGUCUCCCCACAAUGAUAUCAGCAAGCGGUAGGGGUUCGACUCCCCUUCGGCGUA